rnacentral:lncRNA from 1 species
ACCUCUGUCUUCUCGCGGUGGUCUUUAGCAGGCGUUGCGGGUCUUGUGCUGGUGGUUACCUAGGGCCGCAGAGCCGGCGUCCGAGUCAGCUGGUAGCAGUUUAAAAGAUUAAAGAGAGAAGAAGACGCGUAGUAUUGAAGACUUGGUUAACCCACUGGGACCAUGGCUUUGCAGUUCUCAGAAAAGCCUUGUCUAUCAAGCAGUUUUCCUGUGGGAAAAUAAGUGUUCAGCAGGACUAUAUUCAUG